CACGUAGGGGGCGAGCGUUAUCCGGAUUCAUUGGGCGUAAAGCGCGCGCAGGCGGCCGCCUAAGCGGGACCUCUAACCUGGGGGCUCAACCCUCAGCCGGGUCCCGAACUGGGCGGCUCGGGUGCGGUAGAGGCAGGCGGAAUUCCCGGUGUAGCGGUGGAAUGCGCAGAUAUCGGGAAGAACACCGAUGGCGAAGGCAGCCUGCUGGGCCGCCACCGACGCUGAGGCGCGAAAGCUAGGGGAGCGAACA
rnacentral:rRNA from 1 species